rnacentral:rRNA from 1 species
AUUGAACGCUGGCGGCAUGCCUUACACAUGCAAGUCGAACGGUAACAGGUCUUCGGAUGCUGACGAGUGGCGAACGGGUGAGUAAUACAUCGGAACGUGCCCGAUCGUGGGGGAUAACGGAGCGAAAGCUUUGCUAAUACCGCAUACGAUCUACGGAUGAAAGCAGGGGACCGCAAGGCCUUGCGCGGACGGAGCGGCCGAUGGCAGAUUAGGUAGUUGGUGGGAUAAAAGCUUACCAAGCCGACGAUCUGUAGCUGGUCUGAGAGGACGACCAGCCACACUGGGACUGAGACACGGCCCAGACUCCUACGGGAGGCAGCAGUGGGGAAUUUUGGACAAUGGGCGAAAGCCUGAUCCAGCCAUGCCGCGUGCAGGGUGAAGGCCUUCGGAUUGUAAACUGCUUUUGUACGGAACGAAAAGCCUCUUUCUAAUAAAGAGAGGUCAUGACGGUACCGUAAGAAUAAGCACCGGCUAACUACGUGCCAGCCGCCGCAGUAAUAC